CCUACGGGAGGCAGCAGUGGGGAAUAUUGCACAAUGGGGGAAACCCUGAUGCAGCGACGCCGCGUGGGCGACGAAGCGCUCCGGCGCGUAAAGCCCUGUCAGCAGGGAAGAACAAAGACAGUACCUGACCAAGAAGCCCCGGCUAACUACGUGCCAGCAGCCGCGGUAAUACGUAGGGGGCAAGCGUUAUCCGGAAUUACUGGGUGUAAAGGGAGCGUAGACGGCUGUGCAAGUCUGGAGUGAAAGGCGGGGGCCCAACCCCCGGACUGCUCUGGACACUGUAUGGCUGGAGUGCAGGAGAGGUA
rnacentral:rRNA from 1 species